rnacentral:rRNA from 1 species
GGUUAAGCGACUAAGCGUACACGGUGGAUGCCCUGGCAGUCAGAGGCGAUGAAGGGCGUGCUAAUCUGCGAUAAGCGCCGGUAAGGUGAUAUGAACCGUUAUAACCGGCGAUACCCGAAUGGGGAAACCCAGUGUGAUUCGUCACACUAUCAUUAACUGAAUCCAUAGGUUAAUGAGGCGAACCGGGGGAACUGAAACAUCUAAGUACCCCGAGGAAAAGAAAUCAACCGAGAUUCCCCCAGUAGCGGCGAGCGAACGGGGAGGAGCCCAGAGCCUGAAUCAGCAUGUGUGUUAGUGGAAGCGUCUGGAAAGGCGCGCGAUACAGGGUGACAGCCCCGUACACAAAAGCGCAUGUGCUGUGAGCUCGAUGAGUAGGGCGGGACACGUGGUAUCCUGUCUGAAUAUGGGGGGACCAUCCUCCAAGGCUAAAUACUCCUGACUGACCGAUAGUGAACCAGUACCGUGAGGGAAAGGCGAAAAGAACCCCGGCGAGGGGAGUGAAAAAGAACCUGAAACCGUGUACGUACAAGCAGUGGGAGCCCCACCACCAAAGCAUUCUCUGGUGUUGAAGGCCCUGCAAAGCAGCAUCGCGGUGGCGGAGCGUCGUUUGCGACGCCCAACACAUAAAACAAGCGGUGAGUGCUUUGGGGUGGGGUGACUGCGUACCUUUUGUAUAAUGGGUCAGCGACUUAUAUUCUGUAGCAAGGUUAACCGAAUAGGGGAGCCGGAGGGAAACCGAGUCUUAAUUGGGCGUUAAGUUGCAGGGUAUAGACCCGAAACCCGGUGAUCUAGCCAUGGGCAGGUUGAAGGUUGGGUAACACUAACUGGAGGACCGAACCGACUAAUGUUGAAAAAUUAGCGGAUGACCUGUGGCUGGGGGUGAAAGGCCAAUCAAACCGGGAGAUAGCUGGUUCUCCCCGAAAGCUAUUUAGGUAGCGCCUCGUGAAUUCAUCUCCGGGGGUAGAGCACUGUUUCGGCUAGGGGGCCAUCCCGGCUUACCAACCCGAUGCAAACUGCGAAUACCGGAGAAUGUUAUCACGGGAGACACACGGCGGGUGCUAACGUCCGUCGUGAAGAGGGAAACAACCCAGACCGCCAGCUAAGGUCCCAAAGUCAUGGUUAAGUGGGAAACGAUGUGGGAAGGCCCAGACAGCCAGGAUGUUGGCUUAGAAGCAGCCAUCAUUUAAAGAAAGCGUAAUAGCUCACUGGUCGAGUCGGCCUGCGCGGAAGAUGUAACGGGGCUAAACCAUGCACCGAAGCUGCGGCAGCGACGCUGAUGCGUUGUUGGGUAGGGGAGCGUUCUGUAAGCCUGUGAAGGUGUGUCGUGAGGCAUGCUGGAGGUAUCAGAAGUGCGAAUGCUGACAUAAGUAACGAUAAAGCGGGUGAAAAGCCCGCUCGCCGGAAGACCAAGGGUUCCUGUCCAACGUUAAUCGGGGCAGGGUGAGUCGACCCCUAAGGCGAGGCCGAAAGGCGUAGUCGAUGGGAAACGGGUUAAUAUUCCCGUACUUGGUGUUACUGCGAAGGGGGGACGGAGAAGGCUAUGUUGGCCGGGCGACGGUUGUCCCGGUUUAAGCGUGUAGGUGUGUGUUCCAGGUAAAUCCGGUUCACUUUAACACUGAGGCGUGACGACGAGGCACUACGGUGCUGAAGCAACAAAUGCCCUGCUUCCAGGAAAAGCCUCUAAGCAUCAGGUAACAUCAAAUCGUACCCCAAACCGACACAGGUGGUCAGGUAGAGAAUACCAAGGCGCUUGAGAGAACUCGGGUGAAGGAACUAGGCAAAAUGGUGCCGUAACUUCGGGAGAAGGCACGCUGACACGUAGGUGAAGUGAUUUACUCAUGGAGCUGAAGUCAGUCGAAGAUACCAGCUGGCUGCAACUGUUUAUUAAAAACACAGCACUGUGCAAACACGAAAGUGGACGUAUACGGUGUGACGCCUGCCCGGUGCCGGAAGGUUAAUUGAUGGGGUCAGCGCAAGCGAAGCUCCUGAUCGAAGCCCCGGUAAACGGCGGCCGUAACUAUAACGGUCCUAAGGUAGCGAAAUUCCUUGUCGGGUAAGUUCCGACCUGCACGAAUGGCGUAAUGAUGGCCAGGCUGUCUCCACCCGAGACUCAGUGAAAUUGAACUCGCUGUGAAGAUGCAGUGUACCCGCGGCAAGACGGAAAGACCCCGUGAACCUUUACUAUAGCUUGACACUGAACAUUGAGCCUUGAUGUGUAGGAUAGGUGGGAGGCUUUGAAGCGUGGACGCCAGUCUGCGUGGAGCCGACCUUGAAAUACCACCCUUUAAUGUUUGAUGUUCUAACGUGGACCCGUAAUCCGGGUUGCGGACAGUGUCUGGUGGGUAGUUUGACUGGGGCGGUCUCCUCCUAAAGAGUAACGGAGGAGCACGAAGGUUGGCUAAUCCUGGUCGGACAUCAGGAGGUUAGUGCAAUGGCAUAAGCCAGCUUGACUGCGAGCGUGACGGCGCGAGCAGGUGCGAAAGCAGGUCAUAGUGAUCCGGUGGUUCUGAAUGGAAGGGCCAUCGCUCAACGGAUAAAAGGUACUCCGGGGAUAACAGGCUGAUACCGCCCAAGAGUUCAUAUCGACGGCGGUGUUUGGCACCUCGAUGUCGGCUCAUCACAUCCUGGGGCUGAAGUAGGUCCCAAGGGUAUGGCUGUUCGCCAUUUAAAGUGGUACGCGAGCUGGGUUUAGAACGUCGUGAGACAGUUCGGUCCCUAUCUGCCGUGGGCGCUGGAGAACUGAGGGGGGCUGCUCCUAGUACGAGAGGACCGGAGUGGACGCAUCACUGGUGUUCGGGUUGUCAUGCCAAUGGCACUGCCCGGUAGCUAAAUGCGGAAGAGAUAAGUGCUGAAAGCAUCUAAGCACGAAACUUGCCCCGAGAUGAGUUCUCCCUGAGACUUAGAGUCUCCUGAAGGAACGUUGAAGACGACGACGUUGAUAGGCCGGGUGUGUAAGCGCAGCGAUGCGUUGAGCUAACCGGUACUAAUGAACCGUGAGGCUUAACCUU